GCUGCGGCACAAUCCGCAGCCGGAGUUAGCGUUCCGAACAUACACUGAGCAGCAUUAUGUAUAU
rnacentral:sRNA from 1 species